CGCUGGAGUGUCAGAGGCUUGGGCAGGAGAUAAUUCGCCGUUGUGCUUGGAAAAUCCUGCAGUUGUACCUGCAACAGGCACCUGAGGAGGCUGGGCAAAUAUUAAUAUAUAAUACUUACUGAGUGCUUCCUAUGAACUAGGACCUCUGAGAAGAGAUUUAUGUGCAGACCUCCUCUAACCUUUCCAGCAGCCCAUGAGAUGCAAAAGAAAGACUUCUGGAUUCACAAAGCUCAUUUACUCAAAGAGGAGAUCCAAAAUAAGUGGAAAAGAUACUUACAGAGAAGUCAGGAAGAUCAUGGGUCGAUGGCGUAAAAUACAACUAAUAAGAGAAUCACCACGCAGGGUCUAUAUCAAAAGGUCAAAGACCAUGACGUCCCAGGCAUCGCCAGCCAGAAAGCUGCCAUGGAGCCUUCAUUGAACCCUUACCAUGGGACAGCCACUGAGCUAAGAGCAUUGCAUGCAUGAGCUCACAUAAUCCUCACAACACCAAAUGGAGAUAUCAUUAGCUCCAUUUCACAGAAGAAGCAAUCAAGGUUUACAGACAAUAGAGAACCUGGCAAAGUCAUCCAGCCUGUGUGUGGUAGAAGAAGAUUUGAAUUAAAUACUUUCCGCCUCCAAAGUCCUUGCUGUUAACUGAGCCGUGCUGCCUCCCAGAUGGUCACAGUCAUUGCUCCCUUCAUCUGAAUUUCCUCUUCUCUGUGCAUGCUUUUUCUCACAUGGGGCAUCAUUCUAUAUGGCCAUUCUGGGACACACUUCUUUUUAUGUCUGUACCAUCCACCAAGUCCUUGAAGUACUCUGCCACUUACUCUGCAUCCAGCUCUCAGAAAAGGCAAGAGAGACCGUGUAGAAGAUACCAUGGGAAGUUUCAAAAGUCCAGGCCUGGAAGUGGCAUUGUACAUUACAACCACCCACGUUUCAAUGGCAAAAACAAAGUCACAUGACCACAUCUACAGCAAAGGAUAUUGAAUUGUGUAGAUUGGUUUGUGUAAGACUGGAAUCAACAUUUAUCUGAAUGUUUGAUAAAUCUUUCUGAUAAAAUCAUCUAAACCAAAUUUUUUGUUAUUAGGAAAAAUUUUAACUAUUGUUUAACUAAAAAAUCAAUUACAUUAAGGUUUUUGAAAUUUAUUGGCAUAAGUAUUUUCAGAGAAAUCUCUCAUAUUUUAAAAUCUUUGCCAUGUCAAUUGUUAUGUCCUCUUUUCAUGCUUAAUUUAUUUGUGACUUCUCUUUUUUCCUCGAUCAAAAAAUCAGCUUUGGUAUUUAUUAAUCCUGAAUAUCAUUUCCUAUCUCAUUAAUUUCUUCUCAAGUCUUUAUUAUUGCCUUCCUUUGACAUUUUGGGUUUGAUAUAUUGUGACUCCUCUAAUUCUGGCAUUA